rnacentral:rRNA from 1 species
AGUCAAUAGACUACCCUGGUAGUCCUAGCCGUAAACGGUGAGCACUAGGUGUUGGAGGCAUCGACCCCUCCAGUGCCGUAGCUAACGCACUAAGUGCUCCGCCUGGGGAGUACGGCCGCAAGGUUGAAACUCAAAGGAAAUUGACGGGGGCCCGGCACAAGCGGUGGAGCAUGUGGUUUAAUUCGACGCAACGCGAAGAACCUUACCCAGACUUGACAUGCAUUAGACUGGUGUGGAAACACACCUUCCCUUCGGGGCUGGUGCACAGGUGCUGCAUGGCUGUCGUCAGCUCGUGUCGUGAGAUGUUGGGUUAAGUCCCGCAACGAGCGCAACCCUUGUCCUUAGUUGCUAACGGGUAAUGCCGAGCACUCUAAGGGAGACUGCCGGUGAUAAACCGGAGGAAGGUGGGGAUGACGUCAAGUCCUCAUGGCCCUUACGUCUGGGGCUACACA